rnacentral:rRNA from 1 species
AGAGUUUGAUCCUGGCUCAGGACGAACGCUGGCGGCGUGCCUAAUGCAUGCAAGUCGAGCGGGCUACAGUCUUCGGAUUGUAGCUUAGCGGCGAACGGGUGAGUAACACGUAGGUAAUCUACCCUUCAGAGGAGGACAACCUCAGGAAACUGAGGCUAAACCUUCAUACGUUCACUGGUAGGGAUACUGGUGAAGAAAGAGUUACCGUUGAGGUAGCUGCUGAAGGAUGAGCCUGCGGCCCAUCAGGUAGUUGGUGAGGUAACGGCUCACCAAGCCGAAGACGGGUAACCGGUCUGAGAGGAUGUCCGGUCACACUGGGACUGAGACACGGCCCAGACUCCUACGGGAGGCAGCAGCAGGGAAUCUUGGGCAAUGGGCGAAAGCCUGACCCAGCGACGCCGCGUGGAGGAAGAAGUCCUUCGGGGCGUAAACUCCUGGACUGGGGGACGAGGAAGGACGGUACCCCAGUAGAAAGGGACGGCUAACUACGUGCCAGCAGCCGCGGUAAAACGUAGGUCCCGAGCGUUGUUCGGAUUCACUGGGUGUAAAGGGCGCGUAGGUGGUUGUCUGUGUCUCAUGUGAAAACUCAGGGCUCAACUCUGAGAUUGCGUGGGAAACUAGGCAGCUAGAGGACGGUAGAGGGGAGUGGAAUUCCCGGUGUAGCGGUAAAAUGCGUAGAUAUCGGGAGGAACACCGGUGGCGAAGGCGGCUCUCUGGGCCGAUCCUGACGCUGAGGCGCGAAAGCUAGGGGAGCGAACCGGAUUAGAUACCCGGGUAGUCCUAGCCGUAAACGAUGGGUGCUAGGUGUUG